GAAAGAAAUUGUAGUGUGGGGCCAGGAAGGGGAAACUAGAAGACGAACUUGGACAGAGGACGCCUUUGCGAGUUUGGAAGCCGCUGCCCUCUCCAGUUUAUAAAUCCUUUAGGGAACCAGCCUCGAGGGGAAUUGGAGUGGAACAGCCAAUGUCCUUUCCCUCUGGAGUUGUCCUGGUUUUAAAUGUCUUGUCCCGUGUUUCAGAGUCACAUGGAGACUGGAAAAGGAAAUGCUCGGCGUCCUCUCACCCUGUUCUGUUUUGGGUCCGCGAUGCCCUUCUCACUGUAAACAUUGGUUGUGAGCCAUCUGGUCCUAAUCCUGUGGAAUUGGUCUGCUCAGUAAUGACAUUCCCCCACAGACCAGAAAAAUCCUCACGGAGCUGGGAAGCUGUGUGUCGUCAUGUUUCCAGGUGGUAAAGCUGCCCGCUUUUAACUCUGUCAGAAAUUUGGCCCAAAAUUUCAGAAAGAGCCAGAGAGAGGGAGAGUUUCUCGAAAAAGACCACGGGGAGAAUAACAGGCUUCUGCUCUGAAUGCCCUAUGAGCGUUAAGCCAGCUUCUCAUUGAAAAAGGUCACUUGAUCUCAGUAUCUGGCAACUUUAGAAAGCGCUCCCAUCAAGUACCUGUUUGUCAAGGUUGGCAUGUUUACUCCUUGGCUUGGCCACUGCAAUUGCCAAAGUCCUCACAACUCACUGUCUAAGAGAUUCUACCCCUGAAAACCCGGACACUGUCUUCAUCUGCACCUGAGGAUGGAAGAAAUGUAAAGGGUUCCUCAGUGAUGACCAACAUGUCGGAAAAGGAUUUGCUGCUGGAGGGAAUGCUAUAACCCCAGUGACUCGAGCCGGGAGUCCAGAGACAGUGGGAGAGGCCAGAGAAGAAUUUUGCAAAGGAGAGGGUAACCAUGGACAAAUCACCUCUCUGUACAACAACACAAGCUACAAAUGGAGUUCUGAGCUGGAAGCAUGAGUCACCCUGAGGUGCGAUGAUCUCUGGAAAGCCAAACUUCCCAGAGAGAAGAAGCUGGGGAGCACAGGAUGCGUAUUGGUGGUCACAAUCAUCCUGCCACAGCCUUGUGACCCAAGGCUCUGCGAUGGAUCAGCCUUCCUACUCACUCCCUCCUUCGCACACCACGUCUCCAUGGAAACAGCUUGUCAGGCCCUGCUUGGCUGCAGGUUCUGAAGACCUCUCAUCUGCAGCCUCAGUCCUGCACAGAUUCAGACUUAAUAAGCCAGGCUUCUUAGUAGGAGCUUGUGUUAGGAGCCCCAUGCUCUCUAGCCAGUGGGGUCUGGAAUUAUCCUUAAGCUUCUUUUGGGGUACACCUGGGGAGUCCCUAGCACCACUGAGUUGCCCUGACCUUCCACCACUGAUAUUCAGGCCAGCGGCAGGGUUUCUGCCCUGGGUUCCUGCUUCAACCUGAACUCAUCAUCUGCUUCCAGCAAGCCGUUUCCUCCCAUCAUCUCCCCCCACCCACAAAGGUGAGAGCCAUUCUGAGCUCUUCAGACCCCACCUGUGGUUGAUCACCAGGGACAGUUGGUGCAACCGCCUUUGUAUGUCUCAAACUCAUCUUUCUCUGCAUCCCUAUUACCUCUGCUAUGGUUCAGGACACAUCAUUUCCUUUUUCAAUUACCGCAAGAUCCUCCAACCUGGUCCUCCUACUUCCAUGCUUGCUUUCCGUGCAGCCACUCUCCACAUGACAACUAGUGAGAAAACUUUCUAAAACAGCAGACCCGACAUGUCCUUCUCCCACAGAAAGUCAGUUAGCAUUUCCCGUUGUUCUCAGGAUUGAUUUCAGCCUGCUCACAUGACACAUAAGAUUACACCUUCAUAAUCUGAUCCCUGCUCACCUCUCCAGGAUUAUCUCUUGCCACUUUUCCUGCAUGUUCUGACCUCAGCCACACCAAACCACUUUACUGCUCCAAUGAGCCACCUGUUCUCUCUCGCUACUGGGACUUUGCAUUGCUGCCUCCUCCACCUGCAGUGUCCUUCUUCCCCUCCUUCUGUAUAAGCCUUUCACACGUUCCUGGGAAAGCUUUCCCAACUCCCGAAUCUUAAGCUCCUCCUCUGAAUUCUAGAGCU